rnacentral:rRNA from 1 species
CACAAGCGGUGGAUGAUGUGGUUUAAUUCGAUGCAACGCGAAAACCUUACCCACCUUUGACAUGUACGGAAUCCUCUAGAGAUAGAGGAGUGCUCGAAAGAGAGCCGUAACACAGGUGCUGCAUGGCUGUCGUCAGCUCGUGUCGUGAGAUGUUGGGUUAAGUCCCGCAACGAGCGCAACCCUUGUCAUUAGUUGCUACGAAAGGGCACUCUAAUGAGACUGCCGGUGACAAACCGGAGGAAGGUGGGGAUGACGUCAAGUCCUCAUGGCCCUUAUAGGUGGGGCUACACACGUCAUACAAUGGCUGGUACAAAGGGUUGCCAACCCGCGAGGGGGAGCCAAUCCCAUAAAGCCAUUCGUAGUCCGGAUCGCAGUCUGCAACUCGACUGCGUGAAGUCGGAAUCGCUAGUAAUCGUGGAUCAGAAUGUCACGGUGAAUACGUUCCCGGGUCUU